rnacentral:rRNA from 1 species
CCUACGGGAGGCUGCAGUGGGGGAUAUUGCACAAUGGGGGAAACCCUGAUGCAGCGACGCCGCGUGGGUGAAGAAGUAUUUCGGUAUGUAAAGCCCUAUCAGCAGGGAAGAAAGAAGACGGUACCUGACUAAGAAGCCCCGGCUAACUACGUGCCAGCAGCCGCGGUAAUACGUAGGGGGCGAGCGUUAUCCGGAUUCACUGGGUGUAAAGGGAGCGUAGACGGCCGUGCAAGCCAGGAGUGAAAGCCCGGGGCCCAACCCCGGGACUGCUCUUGGAACUGUGCGGCUGGAGUGCGGGAGGGGCAGGCGGAAUUCCUGGUGUAGCGGUGAAAUGCGUAGAUAUCAGGAGGAACACCGGCGGCGAAGGCGGCCUGCUGGACCGCGACUGACGUUGAGGCUCGAAAGCGUGGGGAGCAAACAGGAUUAGAUACCCUGGUAGUC